rfam:Otolemur garnettii contig164967, whole genome shotgun sequence.
GUGCUCACUGGGCAGCGCGUAUACUAAAACAGGAACAUACGCAAGUCAGCGUGGUCCUUGCGCAAGGAUGACACACAAAUUUGAGAAGUGUUCCAUAUUAAA